rnacentral:lncRNA from 1 species
UGAAACAAGUGAUAACCUAAAGGGUAAAAAGGGGUUUUUACUUAGGCUGAAAAUCAGAUAUUUUGGGAAGAAUGUACAGUUGUCCUAGUUGUUUAAACAAUAUGGUGAAAAUGGGGAAGUUGUACCAAGGGUUGUUAAAAAGGAUUGUACUAUUAUACUUCAGGAUAAGGAGUAUGCUAAAAGAUGCUCUCCCUUUGGACAAUCUAUAUAUAGCCUCUAUUUCUCUGAAAAAGACUGGUUCUCAUGCACAUUUUCAUCAGUAGUUUUUUCUGAAAAGGUUCCAUUUCUUCUAUGAAAAACUUCAUACUCAAAAUAGUUUUGAAAAUAUUGAAAAUCUCUUAUUUCUUCCAAACUUGAAACAUGGUUUGAACUAGAAACACUCUUAGCCCUUUAGCUAGAUCUGUUGGAUUUCAAGAUGGGCUUAGUCUUCUGUUUUUGAGCCUUUGGUUCAUUUUUUGGUUUUUGUUGUUGCUGUCUUGCUUGGUUUACUGCUGAAGUUUGGGGUCUCUAGCUAUCUUUUGGCUCUCUUGACCUUUAUUUGGUUAUUUUCAGUCAUAUUUUUAGUUUUCAGGUAUAUACAAUGUCCAUCUUGAAUUGAAUCAAUUUUGUGUUUGAAAAACUGCAUUUGGAACUUGUUUGUUUAGUUUAUCUUUGGUAUUUGGUCUGGGAAUCAUUAUUGUUUUGGAUUUGGAGUUAAUUGGACCAUGUUUUAGUAUUAGAUAAUUGCUUAGUUUAAACCAUGAAAUCUGUGAAGUUGCACUAUAUUCAUAUGUCAAAACUCACAUCUUUGGAUUACUAAAUCAGUAUGUGUAUGCAUCUGUGAAACCUAUAUCCAAAGCGUUCCUCCUAUGGCAGCACAUAAGGGAAGUGAAUCUAACCCUUCAAAUGGUCAGAUUCAUCCUUUAAUAUUGCAUAAUAAUCUGGAUUUUUCAGUACAUGUUCAU